UGUGAUGUCAAUCUGCUCAUCUUAAACAACUCUAAUGGCCAGCACUUACUAGUUACUCCUUUGGAUUGAUCCUAAUGUUGCUUGGUAAAGCACCUUGAGUCUUUUCAGGAAUAGCUCAGGCUAGCUGCUUUAUUUGAGUUUCCAAACUAUUGAUAGCUAUUGAAUAACAUUGAAGGAUUUUUUUUGGGUCUUUACCAUGAAUGGCUCUAUUUUCUACAUAUACUGAUUUGUUUUGUUCAUGAAUUCAUCCAACAUCUCCUCAAUAAAGUGUACUCUCUUGUUGAAAUCCAGCUAGAUAGAUUUGGUUCGUGAUUUCAUCCAAGUUUGUCUUCUCACCAAGAGUUUGGGUCGUGAAUUGUUCACUUUUCUUGUUUCGAGUUGGACAGUACAGAUCUCCAUACUUCAACUAGAGGAAUGGUAUUAGCCAAGACACAUGAUUGAACCAUUUAAGCUACCAAGACAUAUAGUUGCAUCAACACAAAUUACAUCAUUCAAGAUACUAGCGCAUGUUAUUGUACCAAUCAAGCCCCAAACAUCAAUGUAAUCAAUCUUUCCAUGUAUAGCAGUAUUUCUGUUCUACGUAUAUGCAGUAAUCCUUAUUUAAAUAUAUACAAUCA
rnacentral:lncRNA from 1 species